rnacentral:rRNA from 1 species
CCUACGGGAGGCAGCAGUGAGGAAUAUUGGUCAAUGGGCGGGAGCCGGAACAAGCCAAGUCGCGUGAGGGAAGAAGGUACUGCGUAUUGUAAACCUCUUAUGCCAGGGGACAAAGGCGGCCACGGGUGGCCGUACGAGGGUACCUGGAGAAAAAGCAUCGGCUAACUCGGUGCCAGCAGCCGGGGUAAUACGGGGGAUGAGAGCGUUAUCCGGAUUGAUUGGGUUGAAGGGGUGCGCAGGCGGCGUGUCCAGGCAGCGGUAGAAUGACGGUGCUGAACCCCGGCCGGCCGUUGAAACUGGCGGGCUCGAGUUUGAGAGAAGUAGGCAGAAUUCGUGGUGUAGCGGUGAAAUGCAUAGAUAUCACGAAGAAUCCCGAUUGCGAAGGCAGCAUACCGG